rnacentral:tRNA from 2 species
GCCCACUUGGCGCAGUGGUACCGCGUAGCACUGUAAAUGCUAAGAUCAUUGGUUCGAUUCCAGUAGUGGGCA